rnacentral:tRNA from 1 species
GGGCCCGUAGCUCAGUCGGUCAGAGCGGCGGACUCAUAAUCCGUUGGUCGCUGGUUCGAGUCCAGCCGGGCCCACCA